AAGACAGAGUCUCACUCUGUCGGCAGGCUGGAGUGCAGUGGCACAAUCUCAGCUCACUGUGACCUCUGUCUCCUGGGUUCAAGUGAUUCCCCUGCCUCACCUUCCUGAGUAGCUGGGACUACAGGCGCGCACCACCACGCCUGGCUAAUUUGUUGUAUUUUAGUAGAGACGGGGUUUCAUCAUGUUGGCCAGGACAGUCUCGAUCUCCUGACCCCGUGAUCUGCCUGCCUCAGCCUCCCAAAGUGCCGGGAUUACAGGCAUGAGUCAUCACGCCUGGCCCCUGGGUAAUUUUUAUGUUUUCUGUACAGACAGGGUUUCGCCGUGUUGCCCAGGCUGGUCUCAAACUCCUGGGUUCAAGUGAUCUGCCCACCUUGCGCUCUCAAAGUGCUGGGGUUACAGCUGUGAGCCACUGUGCCUGGCCCAUAGAAGAUUUCAACAGACGUAAUUCCACCAGAGCAGUAAGUUAAAAUUCGUCUCCUGAAGUAACUUACUCAUCACCAAGACUCCAGGUCUGUGCUGAGUGCAGCCCAUUGACAAAGUGUAACCAGAUGAACACACACACUGAUCUCAUAAUUAGCAUCUCACAGGGUGCGGCUCCCACAUCACCACCACCUGGAGCACAUGCCGAAAAAUGCGGAGGCCCAGAUCCAAGCCAAGCUAGAGCGUCAGAGCCUUCGGGGGUCGGAGCAAGGAGCCAGUGUGAUCUCGGCUCACCGCAAUCUCUGCCUCCCGGGUUCAAGUGAUUCUCCUGCCUCAGCCUCCCAAGUAGCUGGGACUACAGGCGCAGUGGCUCACGCCCCAACACUUUCAGAGGCUAAGGCAGGAGG
rnacentral:lncRNA from 1 species